AGUCCUGAAUGACAAGGGGCGGGGCCAGCACCAUGACAUCAUGAGUGGGUGUCGUUUAUUUAAAUACAGGCUUCUGCUCCCGAGCCCUAAUUGACUGUCAUUUUCGCCCGCUUUCACGGGAUCCGCAGCGCGACCUCAUGAGGGGAUGUUUUUGAUUUAAAAGCCGGCCUCUGCUCCCCACAGCACAUACCCGUCCCGUCCUCCUCUGUGGCUCAUUUAAAUGGGUGCCGCCCUUAUCGUGACAUCGCCAUGCAGGCCUCACCCCCCCAGCAUUCAGGACUCACAAAAAUGCACUCUGCGCAUGUGCGAGUCCUGAAUGGCAAGGGGCGGGGCCAGCACAAUGACGUCAUGAGUGGGUGUCGUUUAUUUAAAUACAGGCUUCUGCUCCCGGACCCUAAUUGACUGUCAUUUUCGCCCGCUUUCACGGGAUCCGCAGCGCAACCUCAUGAGGGGAUGUUUUUGAUUUAAAAGCCGGCCUCUGCUCCCCACAGCACAUACCCGUCCCGUCCUCGUCUGUGGCUCAUUUAAAUGGGUGCCGCCCUUAUCGUUACGUCGUCCGUGCAGGCCUCACCCCCCCAGCAUUCAACCACUCACAAAACUGCAAUCUGCUGGGGGCGUGGCCUGCACGGACGGCGUCAUUAUAUUGGCUGCAUGUUGUUAUUGAAAUGAGCUACUACUGCGGGUGGGAAUAUGAGAGGAUCCACUUCAUGACGUCGCGGUUGAGGCCCCACCCCCUGUCAUUCCGGAUCGCGCAUGCGCAGACCGCAUUUUCGGCGGAAAGCAUUGAAAAACCGGGAGGAACCGGAGGUUUAGCGGGGCAGCGGGAGGGUCAGGUAAAAAACGGGAGCCUCCCGCGGAAUGCGGGAGGGUAGGCAACCCUGCUCUAUACAAAGUGCUACUUUAUGAUAGAGUUGAUGCAGCUCUUUCUUAAUUUCCAUUGUGCUUCAUCUGCGACUUUCUACAUGUGUAAAACAAAGUCCUGUGCAGAUAUAGUCGCAUCUCAGCGUAUCUAGUACACUACACUCUGAGUUGUGUUUUGCUGCAUAUGUGAUGCAAAUUUGAAGAAAAGAACAGAACGCUACUCCUCUUGGCAGGCCCGGCGCUUACCGCUCAGCAAAGGGAUGCAGUGCAGGUAGGCGCCAGGGGGGAGAGGCGCUCUCCCUGCUCUGCAUUCCAGUGCUGAGUUCCCCUGCUGCUGCUGGCUGCUGCGCCUGUCACACUCUGACAGGCAGCGGCCCGGCAUCAUGAAGCAUCUUCUCCCCCUCCCCUGUUACAGACUCACCGCAGUGUGCUGGCCAGGUCUAAAGGGGGCGGAGCUACACAGGGAUAAGGGGCAGAGCUACACGGGGAUAAAGGGGCAGAGCUACACGGGACCAGGCUGCAGUUGCAACACAAGAGGACGAGUUACCAGGCUUCUUUAUUAUAUGGUGCCACACGGGUUCUGCAGCGCCUAUCAAAGUGCAUACAUAAAUGAGCAAAGCAAGAAAACAGCAAACUACUGACGAUGGCCUCCCGAAUGGGAUCACAAUCCCGGCACCAGCCAGCCGAAGAGGCGACCAGGGCACGGCAGUCACCCCCGCCUAUGCUCCGGGAGGAAGGACAAUGGGCAAGUUGUCAAGUGACCGGCGCAUGACAGGGGUUAGGAGUUCAGCGUACAGCUGUAAGGCGAUGACGUCAUCCAUCCGCGCCGGUGCACCUGAUCGAGGAGAACGCUGCACGAGGGAUGGUAAAGGUUCUGCUGCAUGGACUCACAGGACCAACCUAGACAGGAAAUAUUUUGUGAUUGGCAGCCGUCACAGCAAAUCAAGAGCCACCUUUAGUUAAACACAUCUUUCUCUUCUAAGAAAGUGCUCCUGCGAUUUAUUUCUCAUUUCUAUCUGCCAAAAUAAAUCCCUGAAAUAGCAAAGGCACCCAGUAUGGAUAAUUACAUUAAACACUUGAAAGCUAACAAGACGCCAGGCUCAGGAAGCUUCACCACUAGCUAUUGCAAGACUUUAAAUAGUCUCUUUACUUUGUUUAAUGGCAGCCUGAAAGGAACCCUCUUCUCAUAACAGGCCCACAAAGCAAGGAUCAUAUUGGGCUCAAAAGAAGGGAAAAACAUGAGCAACUGUGCUAAUAGCAGGCUGAAGAUACUGUAUUCUAUGAAAUAUGGAUAUUAAAACUGAUGCCAACAUUUUUGUAAUGUAUUCAAACGAGGUACUUACUGCCCAUGCUUAUCCACAGUGAUCAGGUAGGCUUCAAUUCAGAUAGGCAGUCAAAGAUAUUAUAAGACACACUGUCAAUCUUAUUCACUCCAUUAAUUCAUCUAAGACUCCUGCCCACUUGCUUUCUUCUGGAUGCAGAGAAGGCAUUUAACAGGAUUUAGCGGGCCAUUCAUGCCUUAGAUCCGCCAUCAUUUUAGGUUUGUGGUGAAUUUUUACAAGCUUUAUACUCUGUCCCAUUGUCCAGAGAUUCAAUGAAUUGGAUUGGAUCCUGACUUUUACAAAUUACAAAAGCACCUAAGCUAGUUGGUUGUUUAGUUUGCUCCUCCUUCUACUAUUACAUGGCUAGACCUGGAGACAUAUUUGUGAUUUUUUAACUCAACGAUUUAGACUACUCAUGAUUCUCUACCCUCUACCCCUUCUUCUACUCAAUCCUCAAUGUACUCUUUACUUGGAUCCCAGGAGAGUUUGGUCGGUGUUAUCUACAGGGUAACAGUUUUGUGCAUGCCCCUGCCAGACAAUCAAUCCAAAAAUGAGUUCCAGAAGGUGAAUUCUU